rnacentral:rRNA from 1 species
UACGUAGGGUGCAAGCGUUGUCCGGAAUUAUUGGGCGUAAAGAGCUCGUAGGCGUUCUGUCGCGUCUGCUGUGAAAACUCAGGGCUUAACCCUGAGCUUGCAGUGGGUACGGGCAGACUAGAGUGCGGUAGGGGAGACUGGAAUUCCUGGUGUAGCGGUGAAAUGCGCAGAUAUCAGGAGGAACACCGGUGGCGAAGGCGGGUCUCUGGGCCGUAACUGACGCUGAGGAGCGAAAGCAUGGGGAGCGAACAGG